GCGAGUGUGCUGGAACUGGUAGACAGGCUUCACUUAAGAUGAAGUGCAUAUAUGCGUAAGAGUUCGAUUCUCUUCAUUCGUA
rnacentral:tRNA from 1 species